rnacentral:tRNA from 1 species
UGCCGUUACUAGGAUUCGAACCUGGGUUAAUGCGGCCACAACACAAUGUCCUAACCACUAGACGAUCACGGC